AGUCUAUUAUUUCGCUUGAGACUGAUUAUAGCAUUAUCUUAAUUUGGGUAUGCUUUAAUUCUGAGCCCACCCACUUCUCAAUAACACACCCAGACCUAUACUCUUUCUUCUUUCCACACAAACACAAACACAAACACAAACACGGACAACUUCAACCAUGAACCCUAAAUCCCAAAGCGUCGCCUCGAUUUUUUUCUUUAUCAUCGAUUUUGUACUCCCAGAACGGGGCAUUCGUACAAUCAAAGCUUCUAGGAGUAAUCACGAACACCCAAUCCAAAGUAGGAUUUGAAUGUGCAAAGCAGUGCUUCAGAGAAACUGGACCCUUGAAUGGUGUGACCUGAAAAUGUGACUCUUUUCCUCUCUUUUCCUCCUAAUGAAAUCAAUCCGGAGUUGGGGUAUGGAAGGCGUUCUUCAAAUCUCUCUCUCGUUUUGUUGCCCGAAAAAGGGUAAAAUUUCCUCCCCUUUUGUAAAAUUCUAGCAUAGUUUAAAUUUAUUACUCAAGUAGUCUAUGUUUCUCUUUGGUUUAGCUAUAAUUCUUCCUCGUCUUAGCUGUAAUUUUUAUCAUCUAUUUCUAUUAGAAGUUAAUUUUGAUAUACAUGUUUGUAUUCUGUAAUUUUUUUUUUUGGCUCAAAAUAUGCAUUUGAUCCUA